GACGAACGCUGGCGGUGUGCUUAACACAUGCAAGUCGAACGGAAAGGCCCUGCUUGCAGGGUGCUCGAGAGGCGAACGGGCGAGUAACACGUGGGUGAUCUGCCCCUUACCUUGGGAUAAGCCUGGGAAACUGGGUCUAAUACUGGAUAGGACCAUGCAGUCGGUGGUGUGGUGGAAAGAUUGGUUUCGGUAAGGGAUGAGCUCGCGGCCUAUCAGCUUGUUGGUGGGGUAGUGGCCUACCCAGGCGUCGACGGGUAGCCGGCCUGAGAGGGUGGACGGCCACAUUGGGACUGAGAUACGGCCCAGACGCCUACGGGAGGCAGCAGUGGGGAAUAUUGCACAAUGAGCGAAAGCCGGAUGCAGCGACGCCGCGUGGGGGAUGACGGCCUUCGGGUUGUAAACUCCUUUCAGCCAUGACGAAGCCCUUGUGGUGACGGUAGUGGAAGAAGAAGCACCGGCUAACUACGUG
rnacentral:rRNA from 1 species